rnacentral:lncRNA from 1 species
AUGUCUCUCACGAUUAUUUCCUCUACUCACAAGAAAUUAUGCCCCCAUAACUCUCUAUCGUAUCAGAAUAACAACGACAAAGGAUUUGCUCAGCUUUUUCGCUUAUCCACGAUCACAUCAGUAUCAAGAAUACAUGAAAAAAAAAGGCAAGAAAACUUACAACCUAGAGAUAAUCCGCUGAUUUUCGAUUCUGAUGAAGUUCAAAGGUAUGUCGCCUCUUUCAGUCUCUACUUUCGUUAA